CUCCAGUGCUCUCUCCUCCCUGAUCUGGUGGCUGUGGAGCUGGGACGUGCUGCCAAGGAGCUGCCUGGGAUGCUGGAUCUGUUCCGGGAUGGAGGUCCAUCCCCGCAGCUCCCCAGCUCUGACCCUCCCUGUUCUCCACGGCAGCUCCGAGUGGACGAUCCAGCGGAAGCUGCGGGAAUUCUUUGCCAUCCCGCGGUGCCUGGUCAGCGUGUUCAGCCUGUUCCUGGUGGAGCUGAUCCGCUUCCUUGGCGAGGCCGUGGUCCAGGCGCUGGUGGUCGGUGUCCUGACAGCCAUCGGCGACCACGUGCUGAAGCCCUUCCUGGCGGCGGCGUUUCACAGCCUGCUGCAGCCACUCCUGCUCUUCCUGCUGAAGGUGCUGGGUGGUGUCCGGGACCUGACGGAUCCUGUGCUGGACGUGGUGGCUCGGGUGUGCUCCCAGCUGGCCGUGCUGCUCCGCGCCGUCCGGCUGGUGGAGGUCCGCCUGCGCCCGGACCUGCGGGCUGGCCCUGGCGAUGGUGGCGGAUGAGGACAGCCGUGGGUGGCCAGAUAAGAUAAGGAAAAAGAAUUCCUGGGAAUUGCAGAAGAGCAGGACCAGCUGCGGCCCAGGAGACACCGUUGUCUCCACGUGUGUCCAGGCAGGGGGCAGCUCAUGGUGUGCUGGGAGGGCAGUUUGGAUCUUCUAGUUCUGCAAAUAUAUCCUUAACUUAAUUAAAUUCCAAUUUUAUCCAUUGUAGCAUUGCUCCAAUGAGGUGUUUUUCCUCUUCCUGCCGGCGGAAACUGGGCUUCUCACUGACCAGGACUUCCCUGUGCAGUCUCUUGCCACCAGAUGGGCUCCACGGCUGGGGUGGUGCCCAGGGCCUGAGCCUCAAGCACUGCUGGGAGGGGACGGCUUCUGCCAGCUUCCAGCUCUCUGGGAUGGUCUCCAGAGCCGGUGGUAUGGGCCAGACUGGGAUCACAAUAUAACAGAGUAACCACCUCUGGGUUCCGAAGAACCGGUUCUGGCGCACAGUUUGGGUCGCGUAUUUCCGUCGGGAUGAGGCGGCCAAGGAGCCGAAUGGCGGCAGCAGAGCUCUGGGUGCGUUUCACAAACACUUGGAGGGGUCAGGGGCGGGACUGAGCUGUGUUUUGGGGCUCCCCC
rnacentral:lncRNA from 1 species